ACCCUCUGGUUCCCUUUCCCAUUGGAUCUGAAUGCUGAAGUCUUGGUGGUCAUAAAAGUAGGGAAAGCAAGGCUGACGCUCGCCCCACAGCAUUGCAAUCUGGCAUAUAGCAUGUUGGGCUAGUUUCAAACAGGA
rnacentral:snoRNA from 1 species